rnacentral:rRNA from 1 species
UACGAAGGGGGCUAGCGUUGCUCGGAUUGACUGGCGUAAAGGGCGCGUAGGCGGUUCGUACAGUCAGACGUGAAAUUCCUGGGCUCAACCUGGGGGCUGCGUUUGAUACGUGCGGACUUGAGUGCGGAAGAGGGUCGUGGAAUUCCCAGUGUAGAGGUGAAAUUCGUAGAUAUUGGGAAGGAACACCGUGGAGCAGGAGGCGGACCUCGGCCUGGCCGU